UACGUAGGGGGCAAGCGUUGUCCGGAAUCAUUGGGCGUAAAGAGCGUGUAGGCGGCCUGGUAAGUCCGCUGUGAAAGUCGGGGGCUCAACCCUCGGAUGCCGGUGGAUACUGUCGGGCUUGAGUACGGAAGAGGCGAGUGGAAUUCCUGGUGUAGCGGUGAAAUGCGCAGAUAUCAGGAGGAACACCAAUUGCGAAGGCAGCUCGCUGGGACGUUACUGACGCUGAGACGCGAAAGCGUGGGGAGCAAACAGG
rnacentral:rRNA from 1 species